rnacentral:ncRNA from 2 species
ACUCCCAGCGGGCAAACCUGGUGAAAGCCGGGGACGCAAAGCCACAGGUCUAAGGUUUCCGUGGUAUCUCCCGGGGACUAUGACGGCUGGGUUGCAAGG